GGGUUGUGAGGUUAAGCGACUAAGCGUACACGGUGGAUGCCCUGGCAGUCAGAGGCGAUGAAGGACGUGCUAAUCUGCGAUAAGCGUCGGUAAGGUGAUAUGAACCGUUAUAACCGGCGAUUUCCGAAUGGGGAAACCCAGUGUGAUUCGUCACACUAUCAUUAACUGAAUCCAUAGGUUAAUGAGGCGAACCGGGGGAACUGAAACAUCUAAGUACCCCGAGGAAAAGAAAUCAACCGAGAUUCCCCCAGUAGCGGCGAGCGAACGGGGAGCAGCCCAGAGCCUGAAUCAGUGUGUGUGUUAGUGGAAGCGUCUGGAAAGGCGCGCGAUACAGGGUGACAGCCCCGUACACAAAAAUGCACAUGCUGUGAGCUCGAUGAGUAGGGCGGGACACGUGGUAUCCUGUCUGAAUAUGGGGGGACCAUCCUCCAAGGCUAAAUACUCCUGACUGACCGAUAGUGAACCAGUACCGUGAGGGAAAGGCGAAAAGAACCCCGGCGAGGGGAGUGAAAAAGAACCUGAAACCGUGUACGUACAAGCAGUGGGAGCCUCUUUAUGGGGUGACUGCGUACCUUUUGUAUAAUGGGUCAGCGACUUAUAUUCUGUAGCAAGGUUAACCGAAUAGGGGAGCCGAAGGGAAACCGAGUCUUAACUGGGCGUUAAGUUGCAGGGUAUAGACCCGAAACCCGGUGAUCUAGCCAUGGGCAGGUUGAAGGUUGGGUAACACUAACUGGAGGACCGAACCGACUAAUGUUGAAAAAUUAGCGGAUGACUUGUGGCUGGGGGUGAAAGGCCAAUCAAACCGGGAGAUAGCUGGUUCUCCCCGAAAGCUAUUUAGGUAGCGCCUCGUGAAUUCAUCUCCGGGGGUAGAGCACUGUUUCGGCAAGGGGGUCAUCCCGACUUACCAACCCGAUGCAAACUGCGAAUACCGGAGAAUGUUAUCACGGGAGACACACGGCGGGUGCUAACGUCCGUCGUGAAGAGGGAAACAACCCAGACCGCCAGCUAAGGUCCCAAAGUCAUGGUUAAGUGGGAAACGAUGUGGGAAGGCCCAGACAGCCAGGAUGUUGGCUUAGAAGCAGCCAUCAUUUAAAGAAAGCGUAAUAGCUCACUGGUCGAGUCGGCCUGCGCGGAAGAUGUAACGGGGCUAAACCAUGCACCGAAGCUGCGGCAGCGACGCUUAUGCGUUGUUGGGUAGGGGAGCGUUCUGUAAGCCUGCGAAGGUGUACUGUGAGGUAUGCUGGAGGUAUCAGAAGUGCGAAUGCUGACAUAAGUAACGAUAAAGCGGGUGAAAAGCCCGCUCGCCGGAAGACCAAGGGUUCCUGUCCAACGUUAAUCGGGGCAGGGUGAGUCGACCCCUAAGGCGAGGCCGAAAGGCGUAGUCGAUGGGAAACAGGUUAAUAUUCCUGUACUUGGUGUUACUGCGAAGGGGGGACGGAGAAGGCUAUGUUGGCCGGGCGACGGUUGUCCCGGUUUAAGCGUGUAGGCUGGUUUUCCAGGCAAAUCCGGAAAAUCAAGGCUGAGGCGUGAUGACGAGGCACUACGGUGCUGAAGCAACAAAUGCCCUGCUUCCAGGAAAAGCCUCUAAGCAUCAGGUAACAUCAAAUCGUACCCCAAACCGACACAGGUGGUCAGGUAGAGAAUACCAAGGCGCUUGAGAGAACUCGGGUGAAGGAACUAGGCAAAAUGGUGCCGUAACUUCGGGAGAAGGCACGCUGAUACGUGUAGGUGAAGCGACUUGCUGGAGCUGAAAUCAGUCGAAGAUACCAGCUGGCUGCAACUGUUUAUUAAAAACACAGCACUGUGCAAACACGAAAGUGGACGUAUACGGUGUGACGCCUGCCCGGUGCCGGAAGGUUAAUUGAUGGGGUUAGCGGUAACGCGAAGCUCUUGAUCGAAGCCCCGGUAAACGGCGGCCGUAACUAUAACGGUCCUAAGGUAGCGAAAUUCCUUGUCGGGUAAGUUCCGACCUGCACGAAUGGCGUAAUGAUGGCCAGGCUGUCUCCACCCGAGACUCAGUGAAAUUGAACUCGCUGUGAAGAUGCAGUGUACCCGCGGCAAGACGGAAAGACCCCGUGAACCUUUACUAUAGCUUGACACUGAACAUUGAGCCUUGAUGUGUAGGAUAGGUGGGAGGCUUUGAAGUGUGGACGCCAGUCUGCAUGGAGCCGACCUUGAAAUACCACCCUUUAAUGUUUGAUGUUCUAACGUUGGCCCCUAAUCGGGGUUGCGGACAGUGUCUGGUGGGUAGUUUGACUGGGGCGGUCUCCUCCUAAAGAGUAACGGAGGAGCACGAAGGUUGGCUAAUCCUGGUCGGACAUCAGGAGGUUAGUGCAAUGGCAUAAGCCAGCUUGACUGCGAGCGUGACGGCGCGAGCAGGUGCGAAAGCAGGUCAUAGUGAUCCGGUGGUUCUGAAUGGAAGGGCCAUCGCUCAACGGAUAAAAGGUACUCCGGGGAUAACAGGCUGAUACCGCCCAAGAGUUCAUAUCGACGGCGGUGUUUGGCACCUCGAUGUCGGCUCAUCACAUCCUGGGGCUGAAGUAGGUCCCAAGGGUAUGGCUGUUCGCCAUUUAAAGUGGUACGCGAGCUGGGUUUAGAACGUCGUGAGACAGUUCGGUCCCUAUCUGCCGUGGGCGCUGGAGAACUGAGGGGGGCUGCUCCUAGUACGAGAGGACCGGAGUGGACGCAUCACUGGUGUUCGGGUUGUCAUGCCAAUGGCACUGCCCGGUAGCUAAAUGCGGAAGAGAUAAGUGCUGAAAGCAUCUAAGCACGAAACUUGCCCCGAGAUGAGUUCUCCCUGACUCCCUGAGAGUCCUGAAGGAACGUUGAAGACGACGACGUUGAUAGGCCGGGUGUGUAAGCGCAGCGAUGCGUUGAGCUAACCGGUACUAAUGAACCGUGAGGCUUAACCUUACAACGCCGAAG
rnacentral:rRNA from 1 species